CAUGUGGUUUAAUUCGACGCAACGCGAAGAACCUUACCUGGCCUUGACAUGCAGAGAACUUUCCAGAGAUGGAUUGGUGCCUUCGGGAACUCUGACACAGGUGCUGCAUGGCCGUCGUCAGCUCGUGUCGUGAGAUGUUGGGUUAAGUCCCGUAACGAGCGCAACCCCUAUCCCUAGUUGCUAGCAGUUCGGCUGAGAACUCUAGGGAGACUGCCGGUGACAAACCGGAGGAAGGUGGGGAUGACGUCAGGUCAUCAUGGCCCUUACGGCCAGGGCUACACACGUGCUACAAUGGCGCGCACAGAGGGCUGCAAACCCGCGAGGGGGAGCUAAUCUCACAAAACGCGUCGUAGUCCGGAUCGGAGUCUGCAACUCGACUCCGUGAAGUCGGAAUCGCUAGUAAUCGUGAAUCAGAAUGUCACGGUGAAUACGUUCCCGGGCCUUGUACACACCGCCCGUCACACCAUGGGAGUGGAUUGCACCAGAAGUGGUUAGUCUAACCUUCGGGAGGACGAUCACCACGGUGUGGUUCAUGACUGGGGUGAAGUCGUAACAAGGUAACCGUA
rnacentral:rRNA from 1 species